GAUGUUGUGGUGCAGUGGUAGCACGUUACAUUGUGGCUCUCAUGAGACUUCAAUACUGUAAAGGGUAUGUUGACAUCUACAUUGCCUACAAGUAUGAGAACUAAUUGAACAUCCAGUCCGCAGUUCGAUCCUGUGCAAUGCCA